rnacentral:ncRNA from 17 species
GAGCAACUUAGGAUUUUAGGCUCCGCCGUCUCCCCUGCGGGAGGCGGCGCAAACCCCGCAAGGCUGGCGGUCUUGCGUGCGGUCAAAAUCUAUCCGCCGGAG